rnacentral:rRNA from 1 species
CCUACGGGUGGCAGCAGUGGGGAAUUUUGGACAAUGGGCGCAAGCCUGAUCCAGCUAUUCCGCGUGUGGGAAGACGGCCUUCGGGUUGUAAACCACUUUUGUAGAGAACGAAAAGUCUAUUGAUAAUACCGAUAGACGAUGACGGUACUCUAAGAAUAAGCACCGGCUAACUACGUGCCAGCAGCCGCGGUAAUACGUAGGGUGCGCGCGUUAAUGGGAAUUAUGGGGGGUAAAGGGUGUGCGGGUGGUUUUGCAAGUUGGAUGUGAAAGCCCCGGGCUUAACCUGGGAAAGCCAAAAUUGACUGGAAGACUAGAGGGCGUCAGAGGGGGGUGGAAUUCCAAGUGUAGCAGUGAAAUGCGUAGAUAUUUGGAAGAACACCGAUGGCGAAGGCAGCCCCCUGGGACGCAACUGACGCUCAUACACGAAAGCGUGGGGAGCAAACAGGAUUAGAUACCCGGGUAGUC